UGACCAGACUCCUACGGGAGGCAGCAGUGAGGAAUAUUGGUCAAUGGACGAGAGUCUGAACCAGCCAAGUAGCGUGAAGGAUGACUGCCCUAUGGGUUGUAAACUUCUUUUAUAUGGGAAUAAAACGUUCCACGUGUGGGAUUUUGUAUGUACCAUAUGAAUAAGGAUCGGCUAACUCCGUGCCAGCAGCCGCGGUAAUACGGAGGAUCCGAGCGUUAUCCGGAUUUAUUGGGUUUAAAGGGAGCGUAGGUGGAUUGUUAAGUCAGUUGUGAAAGUUUGCGGCUCAACCGUAAAAUUGCAGUUGAAACUGGCAGUCUCGAGUUGGAGAGAAGUAUGCGGAAUGCGCGGUGUAGCGGUGAAAUGCAUAGAUAUCGCGCAGAACUCCGAUUGCGAAGGCAGCAUGCCGGCUCCACACUGACGCUGAGGCACGAAAGCGUGGGUAUCGAACAGGAUUAGAUACCCCGGUAGG
rnacentral:rRNA from 1 species